rnacentral:rRNA from 1 species
ACGGGGGUUGCGAGCGUUGUCCGGAAUUACUAGGCGUAAAGGGCAGGCAGGCGGAUUUAUAAGUUUUCUGUUUAAGGCAACGGCUCACCCGUUGUAAGGCAGGAGAUACUGUAGAUCUGGAAUGCGGUUGGGGAAGACAGAAUUCCUGGUGAAGGGGUGAAAGCCGGAGAUAUAAGGAGGAAAACCAUAGGGGUGGGCGUUCAACAAAGCCUUAAUUGACGCGGAGCUGCGAUGGUGUGUGAAUCCAACAG